rnacentral:rRNA from 1 species
CCUACGGGUGGCAGCAGUAGGGAAUAUUGCUCAAUGGGGGAAACCCUGAAGCAGCAAAGCAGCGUGGAGGAUGAAGGUUUUAGGAUUGUAAACUCCUUUUGUUAAAGAAGUAAAUGACGGUAUCUAACGAAUAAGCACCGGCUAACUCCGUGCCAGCAGCCGCGGUAAUACGGAGGGUGCAAGCGUUACUCGGAAUCACUGGGCGUAAAGGGCGCGUAGGCGGGAUAGCAAGUCAGAUGUGAAAUCUUAUGGCUUAACCAUAGAACUGCAUUUGAAACUGUUAGUCUUGAGUAUGGGAGAGGUAGGUGGAAUUCGUGGUGUAGGGGUGAAAUCCUUAGAGAUCAAGAGGAAUACUCAUUGCGAAGGCGACCUGCUAGAACAUAACUGACGCUGAUGCGCGAAAGCGUGGGGAGCAAACAGGAUUAGAUACCCCGGUAGUC